rnacentral:rRNA from 1 species
GACGGAGGAUGCAAGCGUUAUCCGGAAUGAUUGGGCGUAAAGCGUCUGCAGGUGGCAGUUCAAGUCUGCUGUCAAAGACCGGGGCUUAACUUCGGAAAGGCAGUGGAAACUGAACAGCUAGAGUAUGGUAGGGACAGAGGGAAUUCCUGGUGUAGCGGUGAAAUGCGUAGAGAUCAGGAAGAACAUCGGUGGCGCAGGCGGGUCUCGUGGGCCGAUACUGACGCUGAGGAGCGAAAGCGUGGGGAUCAAACAGG